rnacentral:rRNA from 2 species
GGGUUGUGAGGUUAAGCGACUAAGCGUACACGGUGGAUGCCCUGGCAGUCAGAGGCGAUGAAGGACGUGCUAAUCUGCGAUAAGCGUCGGUAAGGUGAUAUGAACCGUUAUAACCGGCGAUUUCCGAAUGGGGAAACCCAGUGUGAUUCGUCACACUAUCAUUAACUGAAUCCAUAGGUUAAUGAGGCGAACCGGGGGAACUGAAACAUCUAAGUACCCCGAGGAAAAGAAAUCAACCGAGAUUCCCCCAGUAGCGGCGAGCGAACGGGGAGCAGCCCAGAGCCUGAAUCAGUGUGUGUGUUAGUGGAAGCGUCUGGAAAGGCGCGCGAUACAGGGUGACAGCCCCGUACACAAAAAUGCACAUGCUGUGAGCUCGAUGAGUAGGGCGGGACACGUGGUAUCCUGUCUGAAUAUGGGGGGACCAUCCUCCAAGGCUAAAUACUCCUGACUGACCGAUAGUGAACCAGUACCGUGAGGGAAAGGCGAAAAGAACCCCGGCGAGGGGAGUGAAAAAGAACCUGAAACCGUGUACGUACAAGCAGUGGGAGCACGCUUAGGCGUGUGACUGCGUACCUUUUGUAUAAUGGGUCAGCGACUUAUAUUCUGUAGCAAGGUUAACCGAAUAGGGGAGCCGAAGGGAAACCGAGUCUUAACUGGGCGUUAAGUUGCAGGGUAUAGACCCGAAACCCGGUGAUCUAGCCAUGGGCAGGUUGAAGGUUGGGUAACACUAACUGGAGGACCGAACCGACUAAUGUUGAAAAAUUAGCGGAUGACUUGUGGCUGGGGGUGAAAGGCCAAUCAAACCGGGAGAUAGCUGGUUCUCCCCGAAAGCUAUUUAGGUAGCGCCUCGUGAAUUCAUCUCCGGGGGUAGAGCACUGUUUCGGCAAGGGGGUCAUCCCGACUUACCAAUCCGAUGCAAACUGCGAAUACCGGAGAAUGUUAUCACGGGAGACACACGGCGGGUGCUAACGUCCGUCGUGAAGAGGGAAACAACCCAGACCGCCAGCUAAGGUCCCAAAGUCAUGGUUAAGUGGGAAACGAUGUGGGAAGGCCCAGACAGCCAGGAUGUUGGCUUAGAAGCAGCCAUCAUUUAAAGAAAGCGUAAUAGCUCACUGGUCGAGUCGGCCUGCGCGGAAGAUGUAACGGGGCUAAACCAUGCACCGAAGCUGCGGCAGCGACGCUGAUGCGUUGUUGGGUAGGGGAGCGUUCUGUAAGCCUGUGAAGGUGUGCUGUGAGGCAUGCUGGAGGUAUCAGAAGUGCGAAUGCUGACAUAAGUAACGAUAAAGCGGGUGAAAAGCCCGCUCGCCGGAAGACCAAGGGUUCCUGUCCAACGUUAAUCGGGGCAGGGUGAGUCGACCCCUAAGGCGAGGCCGAAAGGCGUAGUCGAUGGGAAACAGGUUAAUAUUCCUGUACUUGGUGUUACUGCGAAGGGGGGACGGAGAAGGCUAUGUUGGCCGGGCGACGGUUGUCCCGGUUUAAGCGUGUAGGCUGGUUUUCCAGGCAAAUCCGGAAAAUCAAGGCUGAGGCGUGAUGACGAGGCACUACGGUGCUGAAGCAACAAAUGCCCUGCUUCCAGGAAAAGCCUCUAAGCAUCAGGUAACAUCAAAUCGUACCCCAAACCGACACAGGUGGUCAGGUAGAGAAUACCAAGGCGCUUGAGAGAACUCGGGUGAAGGAACUAGGCAAAAUGGUGCCGUAACUUCGGGAGAAGGCACGCUGAUAUGUAGGUGAAGCGACUUGCUCGUGGAGCUGAAAUCAGUCGAAGAUACCAGCUGGCUGCAACUGUUUAUUAAAAACACAGCACUGUGCAAACACGAAAGUGGACGUAUACGGUGUGACGCCUGCCCGGUGCCGGAAGGUUAAUUGAUGGGGUUAGCGCAAGCGAAGCUCUUGAUCGAAGCCCCGGUAAACGGCGGCCGUAACUAUAACGGUCCUAAGGUAGCGAAAUUCCUUGUCGGGUAAGUUCCGACCUGCACGAAUGGCGUAAUGAUGGCCAGGCUGUCUCCACCCGAGACUCAGUGAAAUUGAACUCGCUGUGAAGAUGCAGUGUACCCGCGGCAAGACGGAAAGACCCCGUGAACCUUUACUAUAGCUUGACACUGAACAUUGAGCCUUGAUGUGUAGGAUAGGUGGGAGGCUUUGAAGUGUGGACGCCAGUCUGCAUGGAGCCGACCUUGAAAUACCACCCUUUAAUGUUUGAUGUUCUAACGUGGACCCGUAAUCCGGGUUGCGGACAGUGUCUGGUGGGUAGUUUGACUGGGGCGGUCUCCUCCUAAAGAGUAACGGAGGAGCACGAAGGUUGGCUAAUCCUGGUCGGACAUCAGGAGGUUAGUGCAAUGGCAUAAGCCAGCUUGACUGCGAGCGUGACGGCGCGAGCAGGUGCGAAAGCAGGUCAUAGUGAUCCGGUGGUUCUGAAUGGAAGGGCCAUCGCUCAACGGAUAAAAGGUACUCCGGGGAUAACAGGCUGAUACCGCCCAAGAGUUCAUAUCGACGGCGGUGUUUGGCACCUCGAUGUCGGCUCAUCACAUCCUGGGGCUGAAGUAGGUCCCAAGGGUAUGGCUGUUCGCCAUUUAAAGUGGUACGCGAGCUGGGUUUAGAACGUCGUGAGACAGUUCGGUCCCUAUCUGCCGUGGGCGCUGGAGAACUGAGGGGGGCUGCUCCUAGUACGAGAGGACCGGAGUGGACGCAUCACUGGUGUUCGGGUUGUCAUGCCAAUGGCACUGCCCGGUAGCUAAAUGCGGAAGAGAUAAGUGCUGAAAGCAUCUAAGCACGAAACUUGCCCCGAGAUGAGUUCUCCCUGACUCCUUGAGAGUCCUGAAGGAACGUUGAAGACGACGACGUUGAUAGGCCGGGUGUGUAAGCGCAGCGAUGCGUUGAGCUAACCGGUACUAAUGAACCGUGAGGCUUAACCUUACAACGCCGAAG